rnacentral:rRNA from 1 species
UACGGGGGGUGCGAGCGUUGUCCGGAUUCACUGGGCGUAAAGGGCGCGUAGGCGGCCGGCUCAGUCGGGCCUGUAAGUGCGGGGCUCAACCCCGUGAUGGGCUCGGGACGGGCGGGCUGGGGCGCGGUCGAGGGAGACGGAAUGCCGGGUGUAGUGGUGAAAUGCGUAGAUAUCUGGAGGAACACCGGUGGCGAAGGCGGCAUCCUGGACCGGUAUUGACGCUGAGGCGCGAAAGCCAGGGGAGCAAACGGG